rnacentral:rRNA from 1 species
UUAAGCGACUAAGCGUACACGGUGGAUGCCCUGGCAGUCAGAGGCGAUGAAGGACGUGCUAAUCUGCGAUAAGCGUCGGUAAGGUGAUAUGAACCGUUAUAACCGGCGAUUUCCGAAUGGGGAAACCCAGUGUGAUUCGUCACACUAUCAUUAACUGAAUCCAUAGGUUAAUGAGGCGAACCGGGGGAACUGAAACAUCUAAGUACCCCGAGGAAAAGAAAUCAACCGAGAUUCCCCCAGUAGCGGCGAGCGAACGGGGAGCAGCCCAGAGCCUGAAUCAGUGUGUGUGUUAGUGGAAGCGUCUGGAAAGGCGCGCGAUACAGGGUGACAGCCCCGUACACAAAAAUGCACAUGCUGUGAGCUCGAUGAGUAGGGCGGGACACGUGGUAUCCUGUCUGAAUAUGGGGGGACCAUCCUCCAAGGCUAAAUACUCCUGACUGACCGAUAGUGAACCAGUACCGUGAGGGAAAGGCGAAAAGAACCCCGGCGAGGGGAGUGAAAAAGAACCUGAAACCGUGUACGUACAAGCAGUGGGAGCCUCUUUAUGGGGUGACUGCGUACCUUUUGUAUAAUGGGUCAGCGACUUAUAUUCUGUAGCAAGGUUAACCGAAUAGGGGAGCCGAAGGGAAACCGAGUCUUAACUGGGCGUUAAGUUGCAGGGUAUAGACCCGAAACCCGGUGAUCUAGCCAUGGGCAGGUUGAAGGUUGGGUAACACUAACUGGAGGACCGAACCGACUAAUGUUGAAAAAUUAGCGGAUGACUUGUGGCUGGGGGUGAAAGGCCAAUCAAACCGGGAGAUAGCUGGUUCUCCCCGAAAGCUAUUUAGGUAGCGCCUCGUGAAUUCAUCUCCGGGGGUAGAGCACUGUUUCGGCAAGGGGGUCAUCCCGACUUACCAACCCGAUGCAAACUGCGAAUACCGGAGAAUGUUAUCACGGGAGACACACGGCGGGUGCUAACGUCCGUCGUGAAGAGGGAAACAACCCAGACCGCCAGCUAAGGUCCCAAAGUCAUGGUUAAGUGGGAAACGAUGUGGGAAGGCCCAGACAGCCAGGAUGUUGGCUUAGAAGCAGCCAUCAUUUAAAGAAAGCGUAAUAGCUCACUGGUCGAGUCGGCCUGCGCGGAAGAUGUAACGGGGCUAAACCAUGCACCGAAGCUGCGGCAGCGACACUAUGUGUUGUUGGGUAGGGGAGCGUUCUGUAAGCCUGCGAAGGUGUACUGUGAGGUAUGCUGGAGGUAUCAGAAGUGCGAAUGCUGACAUAAGUAACGAUAAAGCGGGUGAAAAGCCCGCUCGCCGGAAGACCAAGGGUUCCUGUCCAACGUUAAUCGGGGCAGGGUGAGUCGACCCCUAAGGCGAGGCCGAAAGGCGUAGUCGAUGGGAAACAGGUUAAUAUUCCUGUACUUGGUGUUACUGCGAAGGGGGGACGGAGAAGGCUAUGUUGGCCGGGCGACGGUUGUCCCGGUUUAAGCGUGUAGGCUGGUUUUCCAGGCAAAUCCGGAAAAUCAAGGCUGAGGCGUGAUGACGAGGCACUACGGUGCUGAAGCAACAAAUGCCCUGCUUCCAGGAAAAGCCUCUAAGCAUCAGGUAACAUCAAAUCGUACCCCAAACCGACACAGGUGGUCAGGUAGAGAAUACCAAGGCGCUUGAGAGAACUCGGGUGAAGGAACUAGGCAAAAUGGUGCCGUAACUUCGGGAGAAGGCACGCUGAUAUGUAGGUGAAGCGACUUGCUCGUGGAGCUGAAAUCAGUCGAAGAUACCAGCUGGCUGCAACUGUUUAUUAAAAACACAGCACUGUGCAAACACGAAAGUGGACGUAUACGGUGUGACGCCUGCCCGGUGCCGGAAGGUUAAUUGAUGGGGUUAGCGGUAACGCGAAGCUCUUGAUCGAAGCCCCGGUAAACGGCGGCCGUAACUAUAACGGUCCUAAGGUAGCGAAAUUCCUUGUCGGGUAAGUUCCGACCUGCACGAAUGGCGUAAUGAUGGCCAGGCUGUCUCCACCCGAGACUCAGUGAAAUUGAACUCGCUGUGAAGAUGCAGUGUACCCGCGGCAAGACGGAAAGACCCCGUGAACCUUUACUAUAGCUUGACACUGAACAUUGAGCCUUGAUGUGUAGGAUAGGUGGGAGGCUUUGAAGUGUGGACGCCAGUCUGCAUGGAGCCGACCUUGAAAUACCACCCUUUAAUGUUUGAUGUUCUAACGUUGGCCCCUAAUCGGGGUUGCGGACAGUGUCUGGUGGGUAGUUUGACUGGGGCGGUCUCCUCCUAAAGAGUAACGGAGGAGCACGAAGGUUGGCUAAUCCUGGUCGGACAUCAGGAGGUUAGUGCAAUGGCAUAAGCCAGCUUGACUGCGAGCGUGACGGCGCGAGCAGGUGCGAAAGCAGGUCAUAGUGAUCCGGUGGUUCUGAAUGGAAGGGCCAUCGCUCAACGGAUAAAAGGUACUCCGGGGAUAACAGGCUGAUACCGCCCAAGAGUUCAUAUCGACGGCGGUGUUUGGCACCUCGAUGUCGGCUCAUCACAUCCUGGGGCUGAAGUAGGUCCCAAGGGUAUGGCUGUUCGCCAUUUAAAGUGGUACGCGAGCUGGGUUUAGAACGUCGUGAGACAGUUCGGUCCCUAUCUGCCGUGGGCGCUGGAGAACUGAGGGGGGCUGCUCCUAGUACGAGAGGACCGGAGUGGACGCAUCACUGGUGUUCGGGUUGUCAUGCCAAUGGCACUGCCCGGUAGCUAAAUGCGGAAGAGAUAAGUGCUGAAAGCAUCUAAGCACGAAACUUGCCCCGAGAUGAGUUCUCCCUGACUCCUUGAGAGUCCUGAAGGAACGUUGAAGACGACGACGUUGAUAGGCCGGGUGUGUAAGCGCAGCGAUGCGUUGAGCUAACCGGUACUAAUGAACCGUGAGGCUUAACCUU